UUCAAAAUACCAAGAAGAGGGCAAUAUCAUUGAAUCAGACUAAAACCUAAGGUGAAUCCUUUUAUUUACUUUUCGUUCUCUUUCGAUUUUUUUUCUUUUUUUUCUAUAUCUAAAUAUAUAAAUAUAAAUAAAAAUAAUAUUAGAAAAUAAAAAAAAUUUGAAUUUUUUUACCUUCUCCGGCCACCGUGCAGGCGCCGGCUAGCUUCCGACAGCCGUCCGGUAACCGCCCCCUUGGCCGGAGCUCUCCCCUUUCCCCUCUUCUCCUCUCUUCCUUCUCUCCUCUUUUUUUUCCUUUCAACUGCACAAAUGAAAAAAAAAAUUUUUAACUUUUAUAGGUGACCAAAACGGUGCGUUUUGGUCCCCCCCUUAACCAAUAAAACGACGCCGUUUGAACGCGGGUCGGGUCGACCCGACCCGCACCAGGUCAGAUCCGCGUGUUUUUAAGGCGGAAGGGCUAAUUGCGCUUUUAGCCCUUCCGCUUUUCUGGAACUUUACAAUCAAGGUUUUUUAUUUUUAAUUUGGCCCCAUCGUUUUGUCCCGAGUUCAUUCUGGUCCCCCACGCUGCGCAGCGUUUUAGUAGCUGGGGAAAAUUGCUGUAUGGGCCCCUCAAUGUUUAGCGCGUGUUCGAAUAAACCCUCUCCUUCCCUUUUAUUUUCAAAUUCGCCCCACAACUUUGUUUUUAGUUUAAUUUUAGUCUUUUUUGUUUAUUUUCAUUUCUUUAUUAAAUACCCUUGUCAUUUUUAUACUAUUAAUAUUACUAUUAUUAUUAUUAUUAUUAUUAUUAGUAGUAGUAUAUAUUUUUAUUAUAUGCGCGUACAUAUAUAUGUAUUUAUGUUUAGUAUUUUCAUCUACUUUAUUCUAAUAUUUUAAUGCUAU
rnacentral:lncRNA from 1 species